rnacentral:rRNA from 1 species
GACAGAGGAUGCAAGCGUUAUCCGGAAUGAUUGGGCGUAAAGCGUCUGUAGGUGGCUUUUCAAGUCCGCCGUCAAAUCCCAGGGCUCAACCCUGGACAGGCGGUGGAAACUACCAAGCUGGAGUACGGUAGGGGCAGAGGGAAUUUCCGGUGGAGCGGUGAAAUGCAUUGAGAUCGGAAAGAACAUCGGUGGCGAAGGCGGUCUGCUGGGCCGUUGCUGACGCUGAGGCGCGACAGCGUGGGGAGCAAACAGG